rnacentral:rRNA from 1 species
GACGAACGCCGGCGGCGUGCUUCAUACAUGCAAGUCGAACGAGAAGUUACCUUCGGGUAAUGGAAAGUGGCGGACGGGUGAGUAAUAUGUAGAGAAUCUGCCCUUGAGAGGGGGACAACAGAGGGAAACUUCUGCUAAUACCCCAUAUGAGCGUAGCUGAAAUGCUAUUCUUGAAACUCCGGUGCUCAAGGAUGAGUCUGCAUCUGAUUAGCUAGUUGGUGGUGUAAUGGACUACCAAGGCGACGAUCAGUAGCUGGUUUGAGAGGAUGAUCAGCCACAAUGGGACUGAGACACGGCCCAU